GACGAACGCUUGCUGCUUUCUUCACCCAUGCACGUCGAACGGAAAGGCCCUGCUUUUGUGGGGUGCUCGAGUGGCGAACGGGUGAGUAACACGUGAGUAACCUGCCCUUGACUUUGGGAUAACUUCAGUAAACUGGGGCUAAUACCGGAUAGGAGCUCCUGCUGCAUGGUGGGGGUUGGAAAGUUUCGGCGGUUGGGGAUGGACUCGCGGCUUAUCAGCUUGUUGGUGGGGUAGUGGCUUACCAAGGCUUUGACGGGUAGCCGGCCUGAGAGGGUGACCGGCCACAUUGGGAAGGAGAUACGGCCCAGACUCCUACGGGAGGCAGCAGUGGGGAAUAUUGCACAAUGGGCGGAAGCCUGAUGCAGCAACGCCGCGUGCGGGAGGACGGCCGUCGGGUUGUAAACCGCUUUCGCCUGUGACGAAGCGUGAGUGACGGUAAUGGGUAAAGAAGCACAGGCGAACUACGGG
rnacentral:rRNA from 1 species